UUAUAUUACAUGUGAUCUCUAUUUAUGGAGACGUACAAUGAUAUUACUCAAGAGUUAAGUAAUUAAGGGAUAAACAAAAAAGUGUGACUUAGGAGAUAAGUAAAAUCAUUUCACUUAAGAGAUAAGUACAAGGGUUUGUGGACAUCCACUUUUGAUAUUCAUAAAACUCACACUUGGAUGUCCAUCGAGGAAAACUUUACCAGGAAAACACAAAGGGAUAAAACCAUGGUUAAGGAUAAAAAAGGGAACAACACAUUAUCUCUCGUCCCCUCAUAAAGGUAAUUAUUUAUGAACAGGGACGGAUCGAGACUUUAGGUACAUGUUGAGCUAAAAUUUCAAAGAAACAAUUAUGCAAACCAUAUUAAAAAUAAGAAAGAACAUUGUUUGAUACAAUACAUUACAAUGAAAAUCGUGUCCUAUCCAUUUGUUGAAAAUGAGCUAAAAUGAGAGCUACUAAUUGUUAAAGGAAUAUCUCUUUAUAUAUAAGUUACAAGACAGUCAUUUAGCCACCACUUUUAGACAAAAUUUUAACAAAAAACAUGACAAAAAAAAUGCUAGGUCCUUAGAUUCACCAUAUUCAAUCCAAUCAUACAAAUUAAACCAAUUCUUACAAAAUCAACGUCUUUGUCUACUAU
rnacentral:lncRNA from 1 species